UUGCUGUUGAUAACACAAUCAGGCAUAUAACAUGGUGCAGACUGUCCAAGACAGCUACCCAGGAAUUUUCUGUGCUGAAUAAAUGACAAUAUUUUGGUGAAUGUGUUGUUUAGAUAUCUGAAAAAUUUCAUCGGAUCACAAGCAAAGACCUCCUGGGGACCUUCAAUGCAUCCCUUGACAAAUUUGUGCCUGGCCUGCUGAAACUGUACUGGUCUAAGAAGGGAGUUCUUUGUGAGGAGAUGGAAGACCUCCUGGAUAAACUUGAUGAACAGACAUCCAACAUUGUGUCCAACGGGCACUGAGAGGCCUGCCC